GAUGAACGCUAGCGGCAGGCCUAAUACAUGCAAGUCGAACGGUGUCUUCGGACAUAGUGGCGCACGGGUGCGUAACACGUAUGCAACCUACCUUACAUUGGGGGAUAGCCUUUCGAAAGGGAGAUUAAUACCGCAUAAGACAGUAGCUGGGCAUCCAGCAGCUGUUAAAGAUUUAUCGAUGUAAGCUGGGCAUGCGUCCAAUUAGCUAGUUGGUGAGGUAACGGCUCACCAAGGCAAUGAUUGGUAGGGGAACUGAGAGGUCAAUCCCCCACACUGGCACUGAGAUACGGGCCAGACUCCUCCGUGAGGCAGCAGUAGGGAAUGUUGGGCAAUGGACGCAAGUCUGACCCAGCCAUGCCGCGUGCAGGAUGAAGGCGUUAUGCGUUGUAAACUGCUUUUAUACAGGAAGAAACGACUCUUGCGAGAGGCAUUGACGGUACUGUAUGAAUAAGCACCGGCUAACUCCGUGCCAGCCGCCGCAGUAAUAC
rnacentral:rRNA from 1 species